AAUUAAAAUUGAAUGUCAAUGUAUUACACUUACCAAAAUUAUAGUAUACUUGGAGGGUAACCGACUUUUAAGAGGGUAACAUCUUUAAAUCUAUAUAUUAUUAAAAACAGGAUAGUUUUAGGACAAAGAGUAGUUAGAUUAGCUAUUAAUUAGUUAAUUUAGUUAGUGUUUUGAAUUUAAAUUUUAAAAUAAUUGAAAGUUGCCAAGUGGUAAAGUUAAUAAAUGCAAACAAAACAAAAACAAAAAUAGCGCAUAAAUAAUUUGGUUCCACCAAAUCAGGACAACAGUGGAACAUCCGAACAGUUACUUAGAAUUUUACAGUGUUGCAUCUCAUUUUUAUUUGCAUCAAAAAAAAAAAAAAAAGGAAGAGCCAAAAAAAGCACAAACAAAGAGAAAAGGGAAAAAGACAAAAAAGGAAAAAAAAAAUCUAUAUACAUCUAAUUGUCCCAUUUAUCAUUUAUCAUCUGCAUAUCCCGAUUCUCCAAUUUUUGUUCAUGUAUGAACUUCCAGCGGUUCACAAGAGACUUAAUCGACAGAAACUGCCCCAUUUACCAUCUGUAUCCGGAUUCUCAAAUUUCCUUUCAUGUUUGAACUUUUAUAUUGUUGCAGCGAUUUACAGGAGACUUAUUCGAUAGAAAUAGCCUUCAAUCUCAAACUAAAAAGAGCUUGACACGAAGAUAUGUGGGAUAGGCAAAGCUGAGUUUUCAAGCUCACGUCGUCAUUCCUUCUUUAUAGGUCAGUUUCAAACUCAAAUUGUUGCAUACGUCUAUCCUAUUUUCUGAAAAAACGAAUCUCACCAAUCACCAUUAUGGGCUAUGACGUGAGAUGGAGAAUGAGAUCAACUGACAAUUGAUAUGCAUGAAAUUGCGGCUAGACCGAGAAGCCUUUUAGAGCAACUUUUUGUGACCAUGAUGACAGAACCGUCCUAAUCCAGAAACCGGGAAUGUAAGUGAUGGUCUUCAAAAUCUGUGUUAUGAUAUCAAAUCUCUCAAUGUCUUAAGAUUCGAGAAAAACGCAUAGCAAAGUGUAUUCUCCACUUUUCAGGUGUUGAAUUUGAUGCUCAAAAUGGUUUCAAAGUUCUUUUGAAAUAUCAAUAUAAUUGGCUUAUCUUGAUGAAGCACAAGGCAGAAGAAGGUAAAUCAUGGAGAAAAAGGAACACCAGUGGUUGAAGUAAGGAGAAAAAGGAACAACAGCAUAAACUGAGAAUGAUUUCAAGCAUUCAAAAUUCAAAUAUCUCAUUGAUACUCUUCUCUACUCCUCAAGAAGACUUUACAACUUCUCAUAUGAAAUCCAACUUCAAGAACACUUGGACAUGGAAUAUCACAAGAAGAAACUUGCAAAAAUAAACAUAAUAUGCUUACGAUGGCAUAAGCAGAAUAUGCAUACAAUUCUAAUUUAUAUUUCUCAAUUCUCUAGAAUUAUCCUUAUUUUUUCUCUAGAAUUAUCCUUAUUUUUGUUAUAUUUAUCCUUAUUUGUACUUUACAAUGUCAUAUCUUCUGCAGAGAAUGUUGAUCUGAUAAAUUGCUGAGUGAAAACCAUCGAAAAAGAAGAAAGAAUUCCACCUUCAUUAAUAUAUUAGGGGUUUACAUUGCAUAUGAUGCAAGUCGCGUUUCUGGGAGCUAAUGGCUAUGGCUAUAGCUUCAAGAAUGCUUACAAUUAAAUAUGUUAAAGAAGUCAAAGAUGAAAAGAAGAAAUGAGCAUAAUCAAAGGCCAUACAUCAUGAAAAAGAUGCGUACUUUGACCAAGGAUUGCAGUAAGAUGGAUUUUUUUCCCCUAUGAAACGAUAAAUUCACCCAUUAUAUCCAGCUAAUAGCUUAAUGUUAGAAAUUACCAGAAGUACCACCAUUAGAUUAGAAAAAAGUUCACGUCUUCUAAAACAACAAAUAGUAGUGGAUUGCAACAUCUACUCCCAUGAUGCUAAUUUUGGUACCCACAGAAUGCACGGCAUUAUCAAAAUAUAUAUUAAUUAAGUCAACUUAUGUUUUCGCUUUUUACAA